AAUGAACGCUGGCGGCAUGGAUUAGGCAUGCAAGUCGAACGGUGAGUUCCCCGCAAGGGGAACGAUCAGUGGCGAAAGGGUGAGUAACGCGUGAGCAACUUGCCCCCGAGUCGGGGAUAGGCCCGGGAAACUGGGAUUAAUACCUGAUGUGGUUUUGCACUUCAUGGUGCAAGGACUAAAGAUUUAUUGCUCGGGGAUGGGCUCGCGUCCGAUUAGCUAGUUGGUGAGGUAAUGGCCCACCAAGGCUGUGACCGGUAGCUGGUCUGAGAGGAUGGUCAGCCACACUGGGACUGAGACACUGCCCAGACUCCUACGGGUGGCUG
rnacentral:rRNA from 1 species